UACGAAGGGGGCGAGCGUUGUUCGGAUUUACUGGGCGUAAAGGGCGCGCAGGCGGCUCUGCAAGUCAGAUGUGAAAGCCCCGGGCUUAACCUGGGAACUGCAUUUGGGACUGUGGGGCUAGAGAUCGGGAGAGGAGAGUGGAAUUCCCAGUGUAGAGGUGAAAUUCGUAGAUAUUGGGAAGAACACCGGUGGCGAAGGCGGCUCUCUGGGACGGUACUGACGCUGAGACGCGAAAGCGUGGGGAGCGAACAGG
rnacentral:rRNA from 1 species